rnacentral:rRNA from 1 species
CCUACGGGGGGCUGCAGUAAGGAAUAUUGGUCAAUGGAGGAAACUCUGAACCAGCCAUCCCGCGUGAAGGAUGAAGGGGCUCUGCCUUGUAAACUUCUUUUGUCUGGGGCGAAAAAGCUCGAUUUAUCGAGAACUGACGGUACCAGACGAAUAAGCACCGGCUAACUCCGUGCCAGCAGCCGCGGUAAUACGGAGGGUGCAAGCAUUAUCCGGAAUCACUGGUGUGAAGGGGGAUGAGUACGGCAGAGGAGAAAGGCUGUGGCUUAACCAGGGAAUUGCCAUUGAUACUGCAGAGCUUGAAUGAGGUAGAGGUUGGCGGAAUGUGACAUGUAGCGGUGAAAUGCUUAGAUAUGUCAUGGAACACCGAUUGCGAAGGCAGCUGACUGGACCUAUAUUGACGCUGAGGCACGAAAGCGUGGGGAGCGAACAGGAUUAGAUACCCUUGUAGUC